rnacentral:rRNA from 1 species
CAAAUGAAUCAAAACUUUCAACAACGGAUCUCUUGGUUCUGGCAUCGAUGAAGAACGCAGCGAAAUGCGAUAAGUAAUGUGAAUUGCAGAAUUCAGUGAAUCAUCGAAUCUUUGAACGCACGUUGCGCCCGCCAGUACUCUGGCGGGCAUGCCUGUCCGAGCGUCAUUUCAACCCUC